AUUUCGGUAAGUUCUUAGUGGCGAACGGGUGAGUAACGCGUGGGCAACCUGCCCUCCAGUUGGGGACAACAUUCCGAAAGGGAUGCUAAUACCGAAUGUGCUCCCUCCUCCGCAUGGAGGAGGGAGGAAAGAUGGCCUCUGCUUGCAAGCUAUCGCUGGAAGAUGGGCCCGCGUCUGAUUAGCUAGUUGGUGGGGUAACGGCUCACCAAGGCGAUGAUCAGUAGCCGGUCUGAGAGGAUGAACGGCCACAUUGGGACUGAGACACGGCCCAAACUCCUACGGGAGGCAGCAGUGGGGAAUCUUCCGCAAUGGACGAAAGUCUGACGGAGCAACGCCGCGUGAGUGAUGAAGGUCUUCGGAUUGUAAAACUCUGUUGUUAGGGACGAAAGCACCGUGUUCGAACAGGUCAUGGUGUUGACGGUACCUAACGAGGAAGCCACGGCUAACUACGUGCCAGCAGCCGCGGUAAUACGUAGGUGGCAAGCGUUGUCCGGAAUUAUUGGGCGUAAAGAGCAUGUAGGCGGGCUUUUAAGUCUGACGUGAAAAUGCGGGGCUUAACCCCGUAUGGCGUUGGAUACUGGA
rnacentral:rRNA from 1 species